GACGGAGGAUCCAAGCGUUAUCCGGAUUCAUUGGGUUUAAAGGGUGCGUAGGCGGACUUAUAAGUCAGUGGUGAAAGCCGAUAGCUUAACUAUCGAACUGCCAUUGAUACUGUAAGUCUAGAGUAUAGAUGAUGUUGGCGGAAUAUGACAUGUAGCGGUGAAAUGCAUAGAUAUGUCAUAGAACACCGAUUGCGAAGGCAGCUGACAAAACUAUAACUGACGCUGAUGCACGAAAGUGCGGGGAUCAAACAGG
rnacentral:rRNA from 1 species